rnacentral:lncRNA from 1 species
GAGAUUUGCCUGGGAAAUUUUGAAGAGACGGACACAUGGUACUUGAGCACAGUGGGUGUCUAUGCAUAAAGAAGACAGCAACAUGAAGCUGAGAUUGAUUCCCAUUGGUACUGAAUCAGAACUCAUAGAAACAAGUAAAUCUCCUUGGAAAUUAUCACCUAUCAGGUCACCAUCACACCAAGGCACUCGAAGAGACAUUGACGGCGAAAAGGAAUUGAACUCAAUGGGAAAGCACGGCACCAUGAAGGAGCCACCAUGCAAGGGCAGCAAGUGAAUCCAGGGGAGGUCUGUCUCCAAGAAGACGAGCAAGGAAGGCCGAAAUGCUCAUUUGUAAAGGAAGUAUUUGAAAUGUCACCCUCCCCCUUUUUUUCUAAACUGUUUUCUUGGGAAGCCUUCUUAUAGAAACUUAAGAAAAGAUGACUGGGAAUUUAUAUUGUUGAUAUGGGCACACCACGUCAAGGACCCCAAUGCCUCAGACCUCUGCAAAUGAUAAAGCUUCCAUGGGUCAGGUUUGGAGAAAUGGCAAAGCCUUCCACUCUCCCGAGUACCAGUAUUGACAACUGAUUGCUCUUUAGUUAAUGCCAGUGUAGAGUUAGCACCCACCAGAACCAUGGCUUCCUCCUGCUGCAUAUUUACAACUUAAGACUGUUCCCCUAUGAAGACUUCCCACUCAGACAAGCUAACCCCUCAGUGGUGGUUUGAAUGAGAAUGACCCCUGUACAAUCAUACAGUUGAAUGCCCCCCCCCCCCACCCAGUUGGCGAAUCUGUUUGGGAAGGAUUAGGAGGUGUAGACUUGGAGGAGGUGUGUUACUGGAGGUGGUCUUUGAGGUUUAAGAAGCCCCCACCAUUUCCAAGUAGAAUCUCUCUCUGCCUAGUGCUUGUGAAUCAGAUAUAAACUCUCAACUGCUUCUACAGUGCCUACCUGCCUGUUUUCAUGUUUCCUGCCCUGAUAGUCAUGGACUCACCCUCUGAAACUGUAAGCAAAUUCUCAAUAAAAUACCUUCUUCUAUAAGUUGCCUUGGUCAUGGUGUCUCCUCACAGCAAUAGAGCAGUAACUAAGACACUCUUUUUCUUGUGCUAUAUAAAAUAAACACUUGUUGUUUGGGGGUUGUAUAGUAAGUGGCUUCCAUCAAAGUGAGCACACCCCAGGUGAUUCCAGCUUUUCUCUAUGAGACUCUGUCAUUUCUCGUGACAUUUUCUUAUGAUAUCUCAUAUUGCCCCAGCUAGCUUUCUGGGAUGAAGCCAUGCAGCUUAUGGGCUGCUCUUGAGAGCACAGUUGUAGGAGAACCUGAUGAAUUCAUGGAGUGUUAUCUUUUUCAUCCAGCAAGUCUACUGUUCUCAUGAGAAAGGCGUUCUUCCUUGAACACCUCAUCAGGGUCUUAGUCAGGGGAGUCAGCAGUGUGGUAUUAAUUGUAAACAACAGUUAGAGAAAUUUGCAUUUUUGAAAGUCCCAUCCUUCUCACAGAAAAUCCAGAUGGGAUGAUGUGUUCUCUUCAGACCCCUCCCCCCUCGGGUUUUUUUUUUUUCCUGAGUGUUAAUUAAAAAUCUUGUUAACAACAAUGUGUGAAUAAUGUGUUUACCGCUGAAUUUCUUUGGGCAGUGGUUUGCUAUGUAUAUGCAAAUUUUAUUUUUGCACGUUUGCUUUUCCUCCAAUUUCGAAUAAAAUUGUUGAAAAGAUAA